rnacentral:rRNA from 1 species
CAGCCGCCGCGGUAAUACGUAGGUGGCAAGCGUUGUCCGGAAUUAUUGGGCGUAAAGCGCGCGCAGGUGGUUUAAUAAGUCUGAUGUGAAAGCCCACGGCUCAACCGUGGGGGGUCAUUGGAAACUGUUAAGCUUGAGUGCAGGAGAGGAAAGUGGAAUUCCUAGUGUAGCGGUGAAAUGUGUAGAGAUCAGGAGGAACACCAGUGGCGAAGGCGGCUUUUUGGCCUGUAACUGACACUGAGGCGCGAAAGCGUGGGGAGCAAACAGGAUUAGAUACCCGUGUAGUCCCUGUCUCUUAUAC